UGAGUCUCCUGCUGCCUCUUAGAAGGUUCUUGAGGGAGCUCCUUAGCCUCAUCCAUGAAAUGGGAUGCAAGGGACAACAGGAGAAAAGAUGAGCCGGCAUCCUAGGUCCUAUCUUGUUCUCUUGCUUACUGGCUACAUUGUCUUAGGUCAGAUGGCUUCAGCUUGAGUCCUUGAGCUGCCACAGUGAUGGGAGCGUGAUGCCAGCCUUCCUGGGGAGACAGGAGGCCCCUGAGAAACAAGCCCUACCUACCAGCAGCUCAUUGCCAAGAAGUGCUUGCCCGGGGCAGGGAAGUACUAGGACCAGAGGUACUGGGAUCAUCGAAUUCAGGCCCUUCCCCUUGCCAGGCAGCCACUGAGCUACAUUCCUUGCUGGGAAGGAACUUACCUUGCAUCUUCUGGGCAGCCCAGUGGCCUCAAUUUGAAGGAUUACAUCAACCUCAGUCAAGAGCCCGCCAAACUGGGUGUGGUGGCGCACACCUGUAAUCCCAGCACUUGGG